rnacentral:rRNA from 1 species
GAUGAACGCUGGCGGCGUGCCUAAUACAUGCAAGUCGAGCGAAUGGAUUAAGAGCUUGCUCUUAUGAAGUUAGCGGCGGACGGGUGAGUAACAUGUGGGUAACCUGCCCAUAAGACUGGGAUAACUCCGGGAAACCGGGGCUAAUACCGGCUAACAUUUUGAACCGCAUGGUUCGAAAUUGAAAGGCGGCUUCGGCUGUCACUUAUGGAUGGACCCGCGUCGCAUUAGCUAGUUGGUGAGGUAACGGCUCACCAAGGCAACGAUGCGUAGCCGACCUGUGAGGGUGAUCGGCCACACUGGGACUGAGACACGGCCCAGACUCCUACGGGAGGCAGCAGUAGGGAAUCUUCCGCAAUGGACGAAAGUCUGACGGAGCAACGCCGCGUGAGUGAUGAAGGCUUUCGGGUCGUAAAACUCUGUUGUUAGGGAAGAACAAGUGCUAGUUGAAUAAGCUGGCACCUUGACGGUACCUAACCAGAAAGCCACGGCUAACUACGUGCCAGCCGCCGCAGUAA